GACAGAGGGUGCAAACGUUGCUCGGAAUCACUGGGCGUAAAGGGCGUGUAGGCGGGAAGGUAAGUCGGGCGUGAAAUCCCUGGGGCUCAACCCCAGGAACUGCACUCGAAACUACUUUUCUUGAGUGCCGGAGAGGAAAGCGGAAUUCCUGGUGUAGAGGUGAAAUUCGUAGAUAUCAGGAGGAACACCAGUGGCGAAGGCGGCUUUCUGGACGGUAACUGACGCUGAGAACGCGAAAAGCGUGGGGGAGCAAACAGG
rnacentral:rRNA from 1 species